UUCUUCUUUCGAUGUAUCAAAUUUUGGAAGUGAUUUGUCAUUAAUGGGUGUUCUCAAAGGUUUUCCAGUCUGCUGUUUGAUACAUAUUUAGGGUAUAAGAUUCAGAUCAAAUAUUGGGCCAUGUCACCUCUAAAUUUCGCGUAUAUGAGGAAUGUGGUUGUCCACGACUAAUGUAUUAAAGAAAAUGAUUACAAGAAAAGUACACGUAAUGCCAUGCUAAUUAAACAUGGGAUUUGUGAUGGUGGG
rnacentral:misc_RNA from 1 species